rnacentral:lncRNA from 1 species
AGCAGAACUAUUUGUCUUAAUUAAACUAAAAUUAAAGGACUAGAGAAACCAUUUUAAAAAUUAAGAUACUCAAAUAUAAAUCGAGUCUAAAUUCAGAGAUUAAUAAUAACCCAUAAAUUUACAGAUAAGUUUGACCAAAAAGUCAGAGAACUUUUAUCGCGUAGCACCGACUAACUUGGUAGUUUCUUUAUAGGUUUUUAUUUUAUUUUUAUGAAAACUUUCUAGGUACUUUCGGCUUUGCAUAUUCCAGAUGUCAUUCAAGAACGGCUAUAACGUUCCUUCUUUUGGGCCCCUUCCCCUUCUCUCUUGCAUAUUCCAAUUUCCAAGUCUUUUAACUUUUUAAUAUUCUAGGUUCAUAAUCGUAUGGCAUUCAUACCUUCUCCCUCCUUUCCAGCCACUUGCUGUGUACUUUUUUUUUUUUUUGGGGGCCAGAAGAACUUGCUGUGUAAGUUAAGUGCACAAGUUGGCAUCACUCUGACAUGUGAAAAACAACCCUCCACAUUUUUCAGCCCAAAAUUAUUUUUAUUAAUUAUUUAGAAUCCGUUUGAUAAUCAUUUUGAUUUUAAUUUUUAGUUUUUAUUUUUUGUGAUAGUGUAUAGAAAAAAAUAAGAGUGAGAAUGAAAAUGAGGAUAUAAGAUUCAGAGAGAGGAUGAAUAACAUAAGUGAAAAUAAAAUCUUAAAAUGUGCUGGCUUUAUCUUCAAUCGACAUGCAGGUAAUGAUGCAUAUCUUGUGCUGGGAUCCACUAGUCUCUAUCACACUAGUAUUUGGGGGAUAUUGGGAGCUUGCCAUUUGGGGAGCUCGCCUUUUC